rnacentral:misc_RNA from 1 species
GAUGAAGAAUGCAGCGAAAUGCGAUAAGUUAUGUGAAUUGCAGAAUUCAGUGAAUCAUCGAAUCUUUGAACGCACAUUGCGCCCGCCAGCAUUCUGGCGGGCAUGCCUGUUCGAACGUCAUUUCAACCCUCGAGCCCCCCCGGGGGCCUCGGUGUUGGGGGACGGCACACCAGCCGCCCCCGAAAUGCAGUGGCGACCCCGCCGCAGCCUCCCCUGCGUAGUAGCACACACCUCGCACCGGAGCGCGGAGGCGGUCACGCCGUAAAACGCACAACUUUCUUAGAGUUGACCUCGGAUCAGGUAGGAAUACCCGCUGAACUUAAGCAUAUCAAUAAGCGGAGGA